rnacentral:rRNA from 1 species
UAGGGAAUCUUCCGCAAUGGACGCAAGUCUGACGGAGCAACGCCGCGUGAGUGAAGAAGGAUUUCGGUUCGUAAAACUCUGUUGUUAGAGAAGAACAGCGCAUAGAGUAACUGUUAUGCGUGUGACGGUAUCUAACCAGAAAGCCACGGCUAACUACGUGCCAGCAGCCGCGGUAAUACGUAGGUGGCAAGCGUUGUCCGGAUUUAUUGGGCGUAAAGCGAGCGCAGGCGGUCAAUUAAGUCUGAUGUGAAAGCCCCCGGCUCAACCGGGGAGGGUCAUUGGAAACUGGUUGACUUGAGUGCAGAAGAGGAGAGUGGAAUUCCAUGUGUAGCGGUGACAUGCGUAGAUAUAUGGAGGAACACCAGUGGCGAAGGCGACUCUCUGGUCUGUAACUGACGCUGAGGCUCGAAAGCGUGGGUAGCAAACAGG